GGCUCCUCUCACCACACUAGUGCCUCUUGCUGAUCGUCCUGGGGAUCAGUUCCACAGAAAUUAUAGCAGCCUGGAAGGAUGUCACUUGUCGUUUCCACAAUGAAGUUAUCUAUUUGGGGAAGUAAUUGCUUGUUCACAGAGACAUAACUGUCAACAAAGGCUGAGAUAAUUUUCAAGGAGCUUUAGUAAAAAGAAAAUCCAG